AGGACAGGCUCCAAAGCUACAGAGAAACCUUGUCCUCUAAUUGUCACUAGACCUCCCUAGAAUAAAUUGCCUUUCGAUGACCAGGACGAAUUGAGUGAAAUCGUCAUGGACAGAUACGGGGUAGACAGUA